AGGAAUGAUACCUGAAUAGAGAGUGGCCCAGGAGGGUAAAGCAUGAGCAGGAUCUGAGCAGGGCGUUGGUGACUGGCAGCGUCCUAACAGCCAGGUGAAGGAAACCAGGGUGGCCGAUUCCCAGGCCUGGCCUGGGGGCGCGAUGCCUGCUGAGUCUGGCUGGAGGGCCCUGUGCUCCUCCAGAGGCCUUGAAUACCCCGUGACCUGGUGCCACUGCCGCUCUUGGCCAACAGGAGGCCCCGUUCCCUGAACCCUGAGCCCUGAGCCUGCAAACAUUUUAGUAAAGGCCUCGUGUGGCCAUUUGCUCAGCAGGCCCCCGUCUCACCUCCUUGCCCCCUCUCCGUCCCUGCUUCCUCUGUCUCUCCCCUGCUCCUUUCUUCCUGUGAAGCAAACCUGGCUCUGCUGGCUCUCCUUUCCUGUAGGAAGGAUGGAUUGGCCUGGGGAAGAGUGAUACCUUGGGCUGUGGCCGCGAUGUCCAUUUCCCCUCUGUCGGUGCCUCCUGGCCUGCUCGCCUGGCUCCCCCGUAGGUUGCCUCAGCCCCGAGCUCCGGCCAGCCCUGCUUCUCCCAGGUCACGGUGCUGGGGGCGCACAGGCUGUUUUCCCAUCCUGAGCUCCUCCGACGUUUCUUCUGGUUUUCCUCUUUCCUGUGUGCUAGAGGGAAGGACAGAUUCUAAGACUGGCAGAAUGGUGACAUUAAGCCUCCCAGCCCCAGCCAUUCAGCUCCGAGGUCCUCAUCCCUUGUCCCUGCACGUGCAUCCUGCACAGUGCCUCUCCGACUCCUGUGUGAACCCAUAACUGGGGCCUUGGUAAAACGCAGGUGCUGACCCUGAG
rnacentral:lncRNA from 1 species